ACGCGUCUGCUGCAACGCACCUCGGCGGGCGUCGUUCCGACCGACGCAGGUUUGGCGUUCUGGCGUCAGGCGCAAC
rnacentral:tRNA from 1 species